UCCAGAGUCGAGCGGUAGCACUGAGAGCUUGCUCUCGGGUGACGAGCGGCGGACGGGUGAGUAAUGUCUGGGAAACUGCCUGAUGGAGGGGGAUAACUACUGGAAACGGUAGCUAAUACCGCAUAACGUCGCAAGACCAAAGUGGGGGACCUUCGGGCCUCAUGCCAUCAGAUGUGCCCAGAUGGGAUUAGCUAGUAGGUGGGGUAAUGGCUCACCUAGGCGACGAUCCCUAGCUGGUCUGAGAGGAUGACCAGCCACACUGGAACUGAGACACGGUCCAGACUCCUACGGGAGGCAGCAGUGGGGAAUAUUGCACAAUGGGCGCAAGCCUGAUGCAGCCAUGCCGCGUGUAUGAAGAAGGCCUUCGGGUUGUAAAGUACUUUCAGCGAGGAGGAAGGCGUUAAGGUUAAUAACCUUAGCGAUUGACGUUACUCGCAGAAGAAGCACCGGCUAACUCCGUGCCAGCAGCCGCGGUAAUACGGAGGGUGCAAGCGUUAAUCGGAAUUACUGGGCGUAAAGCGCACGCAGGCGGUCUGUCAAGUCGGAUGUGAAAUCCCCGGGCUCAACCUGGGAACUGCAUUCGAAACUGGCAGGCUAGAGUCUUGUAGAGGGGGGUAGAAUUCCAGGUGUAGCGGUGAAAUGCGUAGAGAUCUGGAGGAAUACCGGUGGCGAAGGCGGCCCCCUGGACAAAGACUGACGCUCAGGUGCGAAAGCGUGGGGAGCAAACAGGAUUAGAUACCCUGGUAGUCCACGCCGUAAACGAUGUCGACUUGGAGGUUGUGCCCUUGAGGCGUGGCUUCCGGAGCUAACGCGUUAAGUCGACCGCCUGGGGAGUACGGCCGCAAGGUUAAAACUCAAAUGAAUUGACGGGGGCCCGCACAAGCGGUGGAGCAUGUGGUUUAAUUCGAUGCAACGCGAAGAACCUUACCUACUCUUGACAUCCAGAGAACUUAGCAGAGAUGCUUUGGUGCCUUCGGGAACUCUGAGACAGGUGCUGCAUGGCUGUCGUCAGCUCGUGUUGUGAAAUGUUGGGUUAAGUCCCGCAACGAGCGCAACCCUUAUCCUUUGUUGCCAGCGGUCCGGCCGGGAACUCAAAGGAGACUGCCAGUGAUAAACUGGAGGAAGGUGGGGAUGACGUCAAGUCAUCAUGGCCCUUACGAGUAGGGCUACACACGUGCUACAAUGGCAUAUACAAAGAGAAGCGACCUCGCGAGAGCAAGCGGACCUCAUAAAGUAUGUCGUAGUCCGGAUUGGAGUCUGCAACUCGACUCCAUGAAGUCGGAAUCGCUAGUAAUCGUAGAUCAGAAUGCUACGGUGAAUACGUUCCCGGGCCUUGUACACACCGCCCGUCACACCAUGGGAGUGGGUUGCAAAAGAAGUAGGUAGCUUAACCUCGAGAGGGCGCUUACCACUUG
rnacentral:rRNA from 1 species